rnacentral:rRNA from 1 species
GCCGCCGCGGUAAUACGGAGGAUCCAAGCGUUAUCCGGAUUUAUUGGGUUUAAAGGGUGCGUAGGCGGUUUGAUAAGUUAGAGGUUAAAUGUCAGGGCUCAACUCUGGCCUGCCUCUAAUACUGUUGGACUAGAGAGUAGAUGCGGUAGGCGGAAUGUAUGGUGUAGCGGUGAAAUGCGUAGAGAUCAUACAGAACACCGAUUGCGAAGGCAGCUUACCAAACUAUAUCUGACGUUGAGGCACGAAAGCGUGGGUAGCAAACAGGAUUAGAUACCCC